rnacentral:rRNA from 1 species
CCCUUAGAUGUUCUGGGCCGCACGCGCGCUACACUGUUUGAUUCAGCGAGUCUUAACCUUGACCGAAAGGUUUGGGUAAUCUUCUAAAGUCAAACGUGAUAGGGAUCGAUCAUUGCAAUUAUUGAUCGUGAACGAGGAAUUCCUAGUAAAUGCAAGUCAUCAGCUUGCGUUGAUUACGUCCCUGCCCUUUGUACACACCGCCCGUCGCUACUACCGAUUGAAUGGUUUAGUGAGAUCUCCGGAUUGGCUCUGUAGGUCCCGCAAGGGAUUUAUUAGUAGCCAAGAAGCUGCUCAAACUUGAUCAUUUAGAGGAAGUAAAAGUCGUAACA